CGGCCCCCGGCCCCGAUCCCCCUGGGAAGGGAUGGGAACACAGGGCUGCAGGCUGCUGCUUUCUCUCUGAAUUUCAUCAACAGCCACACGGAAGGCAGCAGUUGGGAAAAGCAUGGGCCAGCUUGCAAUCAGAGUUGUAGAGAGGAUACGGACAGCCCCCAAAACUGCAGGUUUGAAAAAGGCCUCGGGCUUUCACCCAAUCAGAAGUGUCUGCAUUACAAAACUGACUUGGGGCAGGGGGGAGACAACCCCAGAGAGACUGAAGGUGCACAGACGGGCCCCCAGGAAGAGCCCUGAUCUCUGUGACCGAGUUUAGGGGGCAGGGCCAGCCGGGAUCGGCCAGCUUCCUGACGUGGUGUAGAUACUCUAACUGAAGAGUUUCAGGGUGGCUGUUACACACGAGCAGCUGACUGACACAGACAACUGAAGCCGGCCAUGGAAAGGAUCAAACACGUCUGAGGCAUCUGAGAUGCUCAGCUCUGGCAGGAAAGAGGAAGAUGAGUUACAGGUGUAGGAACCCAGACACAGUCGGCCGGCUGCUAGGGCUUGAUACGGUGUGUGUCCGUCAUCUCGCUCUUCUGUAACGAGGGGCCACAAAGUCGGAGGCUUAGAAGAACACAGGUGUGUUCUCCCGCGUUCUGGAGGGCCCAAGGCCAAGGUCAGUCUUACGGGGCUGAAGUCAAGGCUCCACAGGCGCGGUUCCUCCUGGACACUACGAGGGGACCUGUGCCUGGUCUUCCAGGUGCGGGUACCCACCCUGGGUCAGGACGCUUGCUCCACCUCCAAGGAUCAGCCUUCCCACCGCUGCUUUCAUGUCACAUGGACUUCUCCUCUCCUGUCCUCGCGUCUCCCUCUGCCUCCCUUGGGAUGACACCGAGGUCACACAGCUAUCCAGGAUGAUCUCCAUCUCAAGACCCACUUCAUUCAUUAACAUCUGUGAAGUCCCUUUUACCAUCCGUGUUCCUUUGCUAAGGAUUGCUAAGGCAUUCUGUCACAGCCUAAGGCUGCUGUGACAACACAGCCCCAAGUAGGUGACUUGAGCAGUGGACAUGUAUUCUCUGGCUGGGAGUGUGAGAUCCAGGCGGGGCUGAGGCUGGAGGUCUGAGAUCCAGGUGCUACCAAGGCUGCUUCCUCCUUUGGCCUCUGUCGUUGGCGUGUAGAUGCUGUGCUCUCCCCGUGUCCUCACGCGGUCGUCCCUCUGUGUGUCUGUGUGCUCGCCUCCCCUUACAAAAACUCGAGUCCUACUGCAUUGGGGUCCGUCCAAUGACUUCUUCAUUUUAACUUCAUCACCCCUUUAAGGACUCCAUCUCUGAAUAGAGUCCCAUUCUGGGGUCCUGCAGGAUUCUCUGCUGAGACAUCAUUUUCCGGCUCGGCUUCAAAUCUUCGAGCUUGUUUAUAUACCCGUUUAAAGGCUGGCAAGGGAGUCCGAUGUCCGGGUACAGGGAAGCGCACAGGUAGAGUGAGAUGUGAGGAGCGGCGAGGCGAGAUGUGAUGAGCCGGAAAGGCUGUUGGCAGGGAGAGGGAUAAGGCCUCCUCGAGGGACGGCGUGUGGUCUGGGAGAGCGACCUCC